CUCUCUCUCUCUGUCUCUCUCACCAAUCUCUUGUGUGCACAACCAAACCCGAAUAAUGCACACCAAAAUGAGAAGGGAACCCCACCAAGAAAUACCAACCACAAUCCAUAUCUCUCACCCUACAUUUCCUAUAUAGUAUUUUGGAGUGAUGUAAGUACACAAAACACACCAUGAUUACCCGUCUCUGUUCACUGGCGAAAAAUUACACAAAAACACACCAAAAAAGACACACCCACAAGCAAAGUGAAAAAGAAAAGGAGAAGAAUACCAAGAAAAAAAAGGAAGGAGAAGAGUGAGGUAUUCUUAGAAAAUUAUAGAGACCUGUGUUGUUGUUGUUCAAGGAUAUUGAUAUUGGUUCUCUGUCUCUUAACACUCCCUGAAGAAGACACAUCACCGCCGGUCUUCUCCAUAACAGCUUUCAAUGCUUCUUGGAUGGAACUUAUAGAAUAUGGUAGUUGCUGCUGCUGUUGCUGCUCAUUGCUGUUACUUGAAGAAUCUUCUUCUCCAGUGAUGAACAAAACAUUCUUCACACGCCCACCAAGUGUUGUAAUCUCAGCUUUUAGUGUUCUUAAGCGUAACGCUUUCAAGGACUUUAUUAGGUCAGGCAAAAGAUCAGACCUGUCUUCGCAGCAAAGUGAAGCUUUGAUCACAAAUUUACCAUCUUCAUCGGAUGUAUCCAAUGUUAGCUCAUCAAUUUCUGUAGGUACUGGACUUGUUUCGGCGAUCAAAGAAGUCUGACGUUUUAGCUCUUUAACGUGUUGGAUCACCUCUGCUAGCAAUGAAGCUUUGUCCGUCUUGGUUGUGCUUGGUAAUAGGCUACGUAGCUUUGCAAGAUGGUUGUUGAUUCUCUCUCUUCUCCUCCUCUCGGCCUCACUGUGACUCUUUGAAGCAGCAAGAGCCUUAGCAUCCAUGAUUUCUUGAGCAGUCAUCUUCCCCAGUUCAGCUUGCAACCCAAAAGGAGCUGAACCGGGUUGAACCACCGGUCCAAGAGUGUCGGAUAUGAUUCUAAGAUGAUCACUUGAUGAACCAUCAUAUGCAAACUGCAGGGCAGGAGCUCUUCUGUUGAAGAGACUCCCAUAUGAUGAUGGUACUGGAGGAGGGAUAAGAAAUUGGUCGUGGUCACGAACCGGGUGAGAGGAGAAGUGGUCCGGGUUGAAGGAGUGGACUGGAGGAAGAGACCAUGGUAAGAUUGGUGAAACUUCAGGAAAAAUCAACCCGGAUCCUCUAGCUCCUCCAUAGAUGUCAUUGCUUUGCUGCUGUUGUUGCUGUUGCAUUUGUUGGUGAUGUUGGAGAAGUAACUGUUCUUGGUAGCCUUGGAAGUUAUGGAUGGUUUGAGAACACUCUCCCUGAUCUUCUUCUUUGAAUCCACACAUCUCCCUCUUCCUCUUUGGACAAAAACUUGCGAUUGAAAUUCUAGAGCUUUGAGGGUGUUUCCGUAUAUUGAUCCCCUUACUUCUUGAUGAGAAAGAAGGAAGAAUUGUGAGAGAAAAAAGAAGGAUGUGGAAACUGGGUUAUGCUUGUCGUAUAGAGGGAGAAGAAUGGAAAGGGAAUAAGAAGCAAAAAGAGAUAAUAUUAGGAGAGUCAGACUUUGGUUUGAUAUGUAGUUAUAUAAGAUGGAAGGAUAGACUUUUCAGUGCUCUAUACUCUAUCUCUUGUGGGUAGUGGAAGUAAAGCCAAAGAAAGAAAAGGGUUGGACUUGUGUGAAUUCUAAAGAGUCUCUCUUCCAAUCUCUUUCACUUGGGUAGGUUUUUUCUUCUGCCACACAGCCUUUGUGGGUGAUGACUGAUGACCCCUUUUAUACUAUGCUUCAACUAAGCUUUCCCUUUCGUUUGGCGCUAUGUUGGUUUAUCUUUUUGGUUUCCUUUGUUGUUUUUUUUCCCCUUGCUAUCUGCUUUUGUGCUGAUCUGCAUCCCUUCCUCGCUUUCUCUCUCCCACCAUUCUGAAUAUAUAGAUAGAGAGCCUGC
rnacentral:misc_RNA from 1 species